AGAAUCACUGCCACCUCUGGAGGAUGACCAGCAUCUGGUCCACACUCGCCAAUCAUCUAACUUCUUCAACUUCAUUAAUCAGGAUUCUCUAGAAGGACAGAAUUAAUUUCUUGAGGUCUGUUGUGUACUGAACUGUCUAACAGCAGCUGCAGAGCCAAGAAGAGAAGGUGGGUUAGAAAGGUAGCUCUUGGGCAUCCUGACACAGAGUGGAGGAGGACUGCCCUGGUCAGCACCUGGAUCAGUGCUCACACUGAGACCCGAGGGAAAGGGUGAGGCCACAGAGAGUUCAGAGGAAGAACCAGGACACAGGCUUGCUGACAGUGCUCCAGAAACAAGCCCAAUGGUGGCAUGCCAGUUCAGCAUACUUCAACGUGUUCAUCUUUUCACCUGAAAGGAAAUAGGCCUUCAGAUUGACCCUGCUGAAUUCGGAACCGUUCCUUCACCACCUUCUCAGAUUCCAGGAGCCGAAAGUGCUUAUUAAAAACCUCUCAGUUGGAAA